rnacentral:rRNA from 1 species
GACGAACGCUGGCGGCGUGCCUAAUACAUGCAAGUCGAGCGGACGAAUCGAAAGCUUGCUUUUGAUUCGUUAGCGGCGGACGGGUGAGUAACACGUGGGCAACCUGCCCUGUAGACGGGGAUAACACCGAGAAAUCGGUGCUAAUACCGGAUAACACGAAAUGUCGCCUGACGUUUCGUUGAAAGACGGCGCAAGCUGUCGCUACAGGAUGGGCCCGCGGCGCAUUAGCUAGUUGGUGAGGUAACGGCUCACCAAGGCGACGAUGCGUAGCCGACCUGAGAGGGUGAUCGGCCACACUGGGACUGAGACACGGCCCAGACUCCUACGGGAGGCAGCAGUAGGGAAUCUUCCGCAAUGGACGAAAGUCUGACGGAGCAACGCCGCGUGAGCGAAGAAGGCCUUCGGGUCGUAAAGCUCUGUUGUUAGGGAAGAACAAGUAACGCAGUAACUGGCGUUACCGUGACGGUACCUAACGAGAAAGCCACGGCUAACUACGUG